rnacentral:rRNA from 1 species
AGCAGCCGCGGUAAUUCCAGCUCCAAUAGCGUAUAUUAAAGUUGUUGCAGUUAAAAAGCUCGUAGUUGAAUUUCGGGAUCAAAUUGUCGGUCGUGCCUCGGUACGCACUGGUAUUAUUGGUUCCUACCUUCUGAAGAACCGCGAUGUCAUUAAUUUGGUGUCGUGGGGAAUCAGGACUGUUACUUUGAAAAAUUAGAGUGUUUAAAGCAGGCUUACGCUUGAAUACAUUAGCAUGGAAUAAUGAAAUAGGACGUUUGAUUCUAUUUUGUUGGUUUCUAGGAUUGACGUAAUGAUUAAUAGGGAUAGUUGGGGGCAUUAGUAUUCAAUUGUCAGAGGUGAAAUUCUUGGAUUUAUUGAAGACUAACUACUGCGAAAGCAUUUUGCCAAGGAUGUUUUCAUUAAUCAAGAACGAAAGUUAGGGGAUCGAAGACGAUCAGAUACCGUCGUAGU